GAUAAACGCUGGCGGCGUGCAUAACACAUGCAAGUCGAACGAUGAAGAUUAAAAGAUUUCUUCGGAAUGAACUUAAUUGGAUUAGUGGCGGACGGGUGAGUAACGCGUGAGUAACCUGCCUUGUACAAGGGGAUAGCCGUUGGAAACGACGAAUAAUACCCUAUGACAUCAAAUAAUCGCAUGAUAAUUUGAUCAAAGAUUUAUCGGUAUAAGAUGGACUCGCGUCUGAUUAGCUAGUUGGUAGAGUAAAAACCUACCAAGGCAACGAUCAGUAGCCGGCUUGAGAGAGUGUACGGCCACAUUGGGACUGAGACACGGCCCAGACUCCUACGGGAGGCAGCAGUGGGGAAUUUUGCACAAUGGGGGAAACCCUGAUGCAGCGACGCCGCGUGAUUUAGAAGGCCUUCGGGUUGUAAAAAUCUUUUGUAUGGGAAGAAAAUGACAGUACCAUACGAAUAAGGACCGGCUAAUUACGUG
rnacentral:rRNA from 1 species